ACUCCACGUGGAGAAGGUUGGUAGGAUACCUUGGCACUCCACAUGGAGAAGGUUGGUAGGACACCUUGGCACUCCACAUGGAGAAGGUUGGUAGGACACCUUGGCACUCCACAUGGAGAAGGUUGGUAGGAUAACUUGGCACUCCAAAUGGAACAGGUUGGUAGGAUAACUUGGCACUCCACAUGGAGAAGGUUGGUAGGAUAACUUGGCACUCCACAUGGAGAAGGUUGGUAGGAUAACUUGGCACUCCAAAUGGAACAGGUUGGUAGGAUAACUUGGCACUCCACGUGGAGAAGGUUGCCUACCGCUGGUUCAGCGACUUCAGAAGCAUAAUGUAUGAAUCCGAGAAGACCUGCAGCGGGAGGGAACAGGUUUUCUCCCUUCUGGUUAGGCUAUGAUGAUUUCUAGCUCCCUCUAGUCAUUUUUGCGGUCUUCAUUUUAAAUUUUUAUCUCCGUGCUUAAAGCAUCAGACAAGCUCAGUAGUCUACGUACGUACAGUGUUGACGUUGUAUAAUCAAUGUGAUGGAGUGUAUUCAACCAACAGAGCAUCAGAGUAGGAGUGCUGUCCAUAGAGUCAUAUUCUUUAUAAUUUUAAAGGUCAAUCUGAUCCCAGAUCAGCACUCUUAUCCUGAGAGGCUUUAUAAGUACAGGCCCAGAGGUACAGAGGUGAAAUAUACCAAAGACCACCGCUAAACCAAUUUGUUUUUGAGUGUGUCCAUAAAGGCUGUACCACCACAAGCAUGGCUACCAGCAUGGCUACCAGCAUGGCUACAAACACGGCUACCAGCAUGGCUACCAGCAUGGCUACCAGCAUGGCUACCAGCAUGGCUACCAGCAUGGCUACAAGCAUGGCUACCAGCAUGGCUACCAGCAU